rnacentral:rRNA from 1 species
GACGAACGCUGGCGGCGUGCCUAAUACAUGCAAGUAGGACGCAGUUGCGAACGGGUGAGUAACGCGUAGGUAACUACCUAUUAGAGGGGGAUAACUAUUGGAAACGAUAGCUAAUACCGCAUACUAGUAGAUGGACCUGCGUUGUAUUAGCUAGUAGGUAGGGUAAUGGCCUACCUAGGCAACGAUACAUAGCCGACCUGAUAGGUUGAUAGGCCACACUGGGACUGAGACACGGCCCAGACUCCUACGGGAGGCAGCAGUAGCGAAUCUCCGGCAAUGGGGGGCACCCUGACCGAGAAACGCGGCGUGAGUGACGAAGGUUUUCGGAUCGUAAAGCUCUGUUGUUAAGGAAGCGGUACUUACCCAGAAAGGGACGGCUAACUACGUGCCAGCCGCCGCGGUAAUAC